CAUUAAGUGGCUGAAAUUGUAAGCAUUGGUCUCUUAAACCAAAAUAUAGUAAAUAACUAAUACUCUUAAUGA
rnacentral:tRNA from 1 species